rnacentral:rRNA from 1 species
CGUUGUCGGAUUAUUGGGCGUAAGGGCUCGCAGGCGGUUUCUUAAGUCUGAUGUGAAAGCCCCCGGCUCAACCGGGGAGGGUCAUUGGAAACUGGGGAACUUGAGUGCAGAAGAGGAGAGUGGAAUUCCACGUGUAGCGGUGAAAUGCGUAGAGAUGUGGAGGAACACCAGUGGCGAAGGCGACUCUCUGGUCUGUAACUGACGCUGAGGAGCGAAAGCGUGGGGAGCGAACAGGAUUAGAUACCCUGGUAGUCCACGCCGUAAACGAUGAGUGCUAAGUGUUAGGGGGUUUCCGCCCCUUAGUGCUGCAGCUAACGCAUUAAGCACUCCGCCUGGGGAGUACGGUCGCAAGACUGAAACUCAAAGGAAUUGACGGGGGCCCGCACAAGCGGUGGAGCAUGUGGUUUAAUUCGAAGCAACGCGAAGAACCUUACCAGGUCUUGACAUCCUCUGACAAUCCUAGAGAUAGGACGUCCCCUUCGGGGGCAGAGUGACAGGUGGUGCAUGGUUGUCGUCAGCUCGUGUCGUGAGAUGUUGGGUUAAGUCCCGCAACNAGCGCAACCCUUGAUCUUANUUGCCAGCAUUCANUUGGGCACUCUAAGGUGACUGCCGGNGNCAAACCGGAGGAAGGNNGGGGAUGAC